GACGAACGCUGGCGGCGUGCUUAACACAUGCAAGUCGAACGGAAAGGCCCUGCUUGCGGGGUACUCGAGUGGCGAACGGGUGAGUAACACGUGGGUGAUCUGCCCUGCACUUCGGGAUAAGCCUGGGAAACUGGGUCUAAUACCGGAUAGGAGCCAUUUUUAGUGUGAUGGUUGGAAAGUUUUUUCGGUGUAGGAUGAGCUCGCGGCCUAUCAGCUUGUUGGUGGGGUAAUGGCCUACCAAGGCGGCGACGGGUAGCCGGCCUGGGAGGGUGGACGGCCACAUUGGGACUGAGAUACGGCCCAGACUCCUACGGGGGGGAGGAGGGGGGAAUAUUGCACAAUGGGCGCAAGCCUGAUGCAGGGACGCCGCGUGGGGGAUGACGGCCUUCGGGUUGGAAACGCGUUUCGCUAGGGACGAAGCUUUUUGUGACGGUACCUAGAGAAGAAGCACCGGCUAACUACGUG
rnacentral:rRNA from 1 species